rnacentral:rRNA from 1 species
AUUGAACGCUGGCGGCAGGCUUAACACAUGCAAGUCGAGCGGAGAUGAGGUGCUUGCACCCUAUCUUAGCGGCGGACGGGUGAGUAAUGCUUAGGAAUCUGCCUAUUAGUGGGGGACAACAUUCCGAAAGGAAUGCUAAUACCGCAUACGCCCUACGGGGGAAAGCAGGGGAUCUUCGGACCUUGCGCUAAUAGAUGAGCCUAAGUCGGAUUAGUUAGUUGGUGGGGUAAAGGCCUACCAAGGCGACGAUCUGUAGCGGGUCUGAGAGGAUGAUCCGCCACACUGGGACUGAGACACGGCCCAGACUCCUACGGGAGGCAGCAGUGGGGAAUAUUGGACAAUGGGCGGAAGCCUGAUCCAGCCAUGCCGCGUGUGUGAAGAAGGCCUUUUGGUUGUAAAGCACUUUAAGCGAGGAGGAGGCUACCUGGAUUAAUACUCUAGGAUAGUGGACGUUACUCGCAGAAUAAGCACCGGCUAACUCUGUGCCAGCCGCCGCAGUAAGAC